rnacentral:hammerhead_ribozyme from 1 species
AUUCAGCUGAUGAGUCCGAAAUAGGAGUAAACGCGCUUCUUGGAU